rnacentral:misc_RNA from 1 species
AUUUUCGUACAUAAAUCAUGCAUUAUCCAUUCUACAAUUUCAGAUAGGAUUUAAAUUCUUUUCUUGAUGCAUUGUUAUAUUUUAACUUUAGGCGAGGAUCUAGCUCCUAUAGUAGAUACUAGGGGUACUUAAGUGGUCUAGGCCUCGGUCUGUCUUCAGUAAUAGUGAGUGGAUAAAUAUAUAACUCUGGUAUUUUAUUAACUGUAAAUUAUUUAUAUUAUUCUUAAUUUCAA